CCACCUCGCGCUCCGCCGUGGUCCCGGCGCCGGGUCCCGGAGACAGACGUUACGCGGGCUCGAGCGUCCUCGGGGAGUGCCAGCCAGAGUUGGUGACGACCACUUCCUCGACGUGGGGCGGGCGGACGGGAAGCCUGGGGUCGUGGCCACCGCCUCGGGAGCUCUGGGAGCCCGGGUGACCGCGUAGAAAUGAACACAGAAGCGGAGCAACAGCUUCUCCAUCACGCCAGAAAUGGCAAUGCUGAAGAAGUAAGACAACUAUUAGAGACCAUGGCGAGGAAUGAAGUGAUUGCUGACAUUAAUUGCAAAGAGGUGAAGACAUCGAGUCAGAAGGUGGCACCAGAUCUGCACCUUGAAGAAGUAAGUCUAACUUGGGCUGGACACCUCUACAUCUGGCAUGCUAUUUUGGACACAGACAAGUGGUCCAGGAUCUGUUGAAGGCUGGUGCAGAAGUGAAUGUGUUGAAUGACAUGGGAGACACGCCGCUUCAUCGAGCUGCCUUUACAGGACGAAAGGUGAAAAUCAUUCUAUGUUCAAUGUUUGUAAGUGAGGUAUUUGGAGGAGUAGUUACCAUUGUUUUCUCUGUUAUAACCAUCUGACCAGCAACCGAAGAAAGCCACACAAAAAAAUGUAUACACCAGCACUUUGGGUCAAAAGGCCACAGGAUCUUUGAGUCUGACAGUGAGGUCCAGUACUAAGGUCAUGGAGACCCCCACUCUGUAGCAUCCCUGUGAGGAGAUCAUUCCGUUUCUGCUUGUGUACUCCAGCAAUGGGGAACUCCUGAUUAUUCUUUUUUUUAAAAAAAAAAUAGCUUCAUUGAGGUAUAACUUACAUUGCAUAAACUUCACCUGUGAUAUUGUGAAAUAUAUAUUUGGUCUUUGACCUUGUACACUAAAGAUGUACAAAAAGAUGGCUGGCAACCCCUAGGUGGCUUCAGGAUGGGGGCUGGUCACCAGAAAGACCAAGGCAGGACUAGGGGGUUGGGACUUUCAGCCGAACUUU
rnacentral:lncRNA from 1 species